CAUGCAUGAUCAAAUAAAAAACUUACGCGGUGAAGAAUUAACGAUGAUGAAAUAUGUUCUUAUCAGACACUUGAACAAGAAUCAUCUCUCAGGUCCAAUUCCACUGAGCCUUUUCAGCUCUAGCAUGAAUGUUAAACAUAUACUGCUUGACAGCAAUAACCUUUCUACGGUUAUUCCAGAAUCAAUUGGACUUCUUCAGAAACUCGAAGUUUUACGGCUAGACCGCAAUAAUUUGAUUGGAC